AUAAAAAUGAGUUUAUUGAUAAGACACGUAUGGUACAAGAAUCGGUCCAUUGUUUGCUGCUCCUUAUCCUUAGGCCUACUCUUAUUAGCUUUACGUACGGCUCAGGAUAAACGAACGAACGAACAUACAUAAUAACGAGAUUGAGGCGAAGGGGAGGGAACCAGGAGAAUAAUAAUAAUAAUAAUAAUAAUAAUAAUAAAAUAAUAAUAAUGGUACUUGGGGUGGGAAGGGAAGGGAAGGGAGGGGAGGGGAGAGGAAGGGAAGGGAAAGGAAGAGAGGGGAGGGGAAGGAAAGGGAAGGAAAGGGAAAGGAAGAUAAGAGAAGGGAAGGGAAGGAAAAGAAAGGGAAUAGAAGGGAAGGGGAGGAAAUUGAAGGUAAGGGAAUAAUAAUAAUAAUAAUAAUAAUAAUAAUAAAAUACAUACACAGAAUCUCACCCUUACACACACACAUACACAUUCAUACAUAUACAUGAACAUAAGGGUUACAUAUCGAACUCAAAAUGCAGUAUAAUAAUUAUAAUCGUCAGUAUACUCUAUGAAUUACAAAUAGCUAUAUAUAUAACGCUUCUCCAUAGGGCUUAUAACGCUACACAAGUUACAUACGGAAUGGACCUUAAGUAAGUUCGCUCUAUUUAAAUAUAUAUAUAUAUAAAACACGAGACUCAGAAAGGCGCGAGACCUCCCUUAAAAUAUGUGUUAUGGAAGAAAACGGGGAGUGGUGGGUGCUCUGUGGAGGACGAGGGGAGGGAAGGAGAAGAGGAUGAGAGGAGGGACAUCAGGAAGGGUUUAUUGAGAGGGAGGGAUGGAAGGGGAAGAGAAGGGAAGGAAAAGGAAGAGAAGGGAUGGGAUGGGAAAAUAAGGAAAGGGAAGGGAUGGGAAAGGAAGAGAAAGGAAGGGAAGGGAAGGCAAGGGAAGGGGAAGGGAGGAGAAAAAUCUGGUAUUCAGGAAGCUUUACAAGUGAGAGAGAGAGAGAGAGAGAGAGAGAGAGAGAGAGUCCAACGUUUACUUUCCAUGUUGCAAUGGUCAUUAGCUACAUGAUGAAUGUAUUAGAAAGAUAUCAUUCAGAUUGAAGACAGCAGCCUCAGAGUCCUCAGAUAUAUUAGCUACAAUAAUAUAUAAAGUCAUAUCAUGCAGAGCCUGAGUUAUAAAACAAAAUAAAACAAUAAAAUGCAAUAAAAUCAAGCUUCAUAAUGAGAUAAUUGAUAAAAUCUGUACAGGUUGAGCUUGAGAGAUAAAAGAAAAUAAAACUAUGUAAAAAAAAAGGAAAUAGUUGGUUCUUAUGGACUAUUUUGUUCUAUAACACACACACACACACACACACACACACAGUGAGGGCGCAGUGGUCACAGAAGAUAAGGAAAGUGUUCUUAGAGAAAAACUGAAAUUACAAGAAGAGGAAAUUGCACGCCUCCCCCACCUUGAGGAGCCGCCUCAGAUGAUGUCACCCGAGGCAGCAGCCGGCAGGGAAGGCUACAGCCUCUAUGGCCCCAAGCCUGAUGCAACACAAAACGUGGCCAAAAAACUGCCAAUUGAUUUAUCAGACCUAGAAUAUGAGCCUGACUACUACUACUACUAUUAUACUUAUGCACCAUUGGGCUCAAGAGAAGUCUGGUUCUGGAGUACUUGUGUUCUCACACUUGUGAACAUCACAGUUGCACUUCAAACUGCAAGGGUUUCCAUUCUUUCAGCAGGAGCAUGUCCUCACAGCACAGCCUCCCUGGCACUUAACUCCCUAUUGGAGUCCCGCCUUCCUGGAGAUUUCUUCCGAGCAGAUGCUGGAUGUAAUCUUCCCGAUAUAUUUUUGAACAGAUGAGUCUUCCGCCAGCCUGAUCUUGCUUUUGGACCAAAAGCAAGAUCCAGACUGGCGGAAAACUCCUCUGUUCAGAAAAAUCAGGGAGAUUAGAUACAGAACAUCCACUCAGAAGAAAUCUCUAAGGAAAGCGGGACCCCACUAGAGAGGUAAGUGCAUGUGCCAGGGAGGCUGUGCUGUGAAGAACACUCCUGCUCAAAGAAUGAAAACCCUUACGGAUACAAGUGUGGCGCCCACCACUGGAAGAACAGAACUACUCCACAGCCACGCUUCUCUUGAUGGUGCAUAAGUAUAAUAGAAGUAGCAGUAGUAGUAGAAGAUUAUUAAGGAAAAUGAUGAAAAGGAAAAGAAAGGAAAGAUUGGAAAGGAAAGGGAUGGAAGAGGAAGAAAUAAAAAGAAAAGAAAGAAAUGUGUGUGUGUGUGUGUGUGUGUGUGUGUGUGUGUGUGUGUGACCCAUAAACAAACUUAGGCACUAAUAUAACCUCCUCCUCUUCCUCCUCCUCUUCUUCAUCCUUCCUAUCUUCUAUACUUACAUAUGUACACUAAUUCUGUGUGUGUGUGUGUGUGUGUGUGUGUGUGUGUUUAUCAGGUUAUCUAUACAGGAGAUGUGUGUGUGUAUGUGUGUGUGUGUAUACUUGUACUCUUGUUGUCAUUAUUAUUACAAUCAUGUACGCAUAUACUAAAUACUACGUUAUACCUACACACACACACACACACACACACACAUAUACACACACACACACACACACACACACACACACACAUGCUAUAUAUAAGGCAACCAGCUCAACAGAUAUAACAUCAAUAAUAAUGAUAAUAAUAAUAAUAAUAAUAAUAAUAGAUAAUAAUUAAUGAGAUAUAACUAACCUGACUUUAGAUCUAGUUAAGUACAUUGGUCUCUCUCUCUCUCUCUCUCUCUCUCUCUCUCUCUCUCUCUCUCUCUCAAGAUAAGUAUAAGGCCACCGACACACACCAUAUCAAGGCCACAAAGUAAUGUUUCGUCGCGCUUAUAGAAAUUGAAGCUUGUCUGCACUCGUUUCCUUCGUACUGAAACACCAAAACAGGCGACUCAUGAUACGUACGUACAAACGGUUUAUUUUCACUUCUAUGUUUCGUCGGCUUAUGUAUAAAAAAGUCACCCAGGUUUCGGAAUUGUGUCGUAACUCGUAUGAAAUUUGUACAAACUGUUUUCAUCUACGAAUUGUUGCUUUACGUAUUGGAAAUGUCACUCAGGUUUCGGAAAAGUGUUUCGUUACUCGUAUAAAAUUAGUACAAACUGUUUUCAUCUACGAAUUGUUAGUUUACGUACUGAAGAUGUCACUGAGGUUUCGGAAUUGCGUCAUAACUCGUAUAAAAUCUGUAAAGACUGUUUUCAUCCACGAACUGUUGCUUUACGUAUUGGAAAUGUCACUCAGGUUUCGGAAUUGCGCCGUAACUCGUAUAAAAUCUGUAAAGACUGUUUUCAUCCACAAACUGUUGCUUUACGUAUUGGAAAUGUCACUCUGGUUUUGGAAUUGCGUCAUAACUCGUAUAAAAUUUGUACAGACUGUUUUCAUCUACGAACUGUUGGUUUACGUAUUGGAAAUGUCACUCAGGUUUUGGAAUUGCGUCAUAACUCGUAUAAAAUUUGUACAGACUGUUUUCAUCUACGAACUGUUGCUUUACGUAUUGGAACUGUCACUCAGGUUUCGGAAUUGCGCCGUAACUCGUAUAAAAUUUGUACAGACUGUUUUCAUCCACAAAUUGUUGGUUUACGUAAAAUGUCACUCGUGUCACAGAAUCAAGAUAACUCAAGACGUUUGUACAUACUAUUUUCAUCUACGAAUUGUUGGUUUACGUACUGAAGAUGUCACUCAGGUUACAGAAUCAAGACGCAACUCAAGACGUUCGUACAUAACAUUUUCAUCUACGAAUUGUUGGAUUACAUAAAAAGUCACGCAAGUCACAGAAUCGAGACGCAAUUCAAGACGUUCGUAAUACUAUUUUCAUCUACGAAUUAUUGGUUUACGUACUGAAGACGUCACUCAGGUUUCGGAAUCGUGUAGUACGUAGUGAGUUGUUAUGUUAAGUAACUCGUGCCACCUAUAAAUCACUCUGUCGUUUCGUUUUACUUAUAGAAAACACACACACACAUACACGCACACACGCAUUUAGACUUACAUAUCAAUCAAUGGAAUAUGAAUAGUGUGUGUGUGUGUGUGUGUGUGUGUGUACUUUCCAUAUGGCACAUGAUAUCAGAAAGAAGGAAAAAAAAAGGAAAAAAAAGAAAGAAAAAAAGGAAGAAAUUAAAUGAUUAUAAAUGCAACUAAACACAUAAUUAAAUGCUAUGGUUGCACACACACACACACACACACACACACACACACACACACACACACAAUAAUAAUAAUGCUAGUGAGGAGGAGGAGGAGGAGGAGGAAGAGAGAGGAAAGGAAGAACAGAAGAGGAGGAGGAGGAGGAGAAGGAGGAG